rnacentral:misc_RNA from 1 species
UCUCCGUAGGUGAACCUGCGGAGGGAUCAUUACAAGUGACCCCGGUCUUACCACCGGGAUGUUCAUAACCCUUUGUCGUCCGACUCUGUUGCCUCCGGGGCGACCCUGCCUUCGGGCGGGGGCUCCGGGUGGACACUUCAAACUCUUGCGUAACUUUGCAGUCUGAGUAAACUUAAUUAAUAAAUUAAAACUUUUAACAACGGAUCUCUUGGUUCUG